rnacentral:tRNA from 1 species
UCCCUCAUGGCUCAGUUGGUAAAGAACCUGCUAGCAAUGCAGGAGACCCGGGUUCGAUUCCUGGUCAGGAAG